GGGGUUGUGGCUCAAUGGUAGAAUGCUCACCUAGCAUGUGUGAGGCACUGGGUUUGAUUCUCAGCACCACA
rnacentral:tRNA from 1 species